CCUGACGACAAUAGAGAGUUGGAACCACCUGAUCCCAUCCCGAACUCAGACGUGAAACGACUCAUCGCCGAUGGUAGUGUGGCGCUUCGCCAUGUGAGAGUAGGUCAUCGUCAGGC
rnacentral:rRNA from 1 species